rnacentral:rRNA from 1 species
AGGGUUCGAGUUCUGGCUCAGGACGAACGCUGGCGGCGUGCCUAACACAUGCAAGUCGAGCGGGGACAUUGCGACGGAGGCGAAGUACUCGUACGGAGUCAAAGAUGUAAUGUCUAGCGGCGGACGGGUGAGUAACGCGUGAGCAACCUGUCCCUUACAGGGGGAUAACACAGCGAAAGUUGUACUAAUACCGCAUAAGACCACAGGAUGACAUCGUCCAGGGGUCAAAGGAGCAAUCCGGUAAGGGGUGGGCUCGCGUCCGAUUAGAUAGUUGGUGAGGUAACGGCCCACCAAGUCGACGAUCGGUAGCCGACCUGAGAGGGUGAUCGGCCACAUUGGGACUGAGACACGGCCCAAACUCCUACGGGAGGCAGCAGUGGGGAAUAUUGGGCAAAAUGGGGGAAACCCUGACCCAGCAACGCCGCGUGAGGGAAGAAGGUUUUCGGAUCGUAAACCUCUGUCCCAGGUGAAGAGGAAGAGACGGUAGCCUGGGAGGAAGCCCCGGCUAACUACGUGCCAGCCGCCGC